rnacentral:lncRNA from 1 species
CUGAGCCAUCUCUCCAGCCCACUUUCUGGAUAUUAUGAAUAAAGCUGAUAUGAAUAUAGUUGAGCAAGUAUCCUUGUGGUAUGAUAGAACAUCUUUUCAAUAUAUAUGCCCAGGAGUGGUAUAGCUGGGUCUUGAGGUAAAACUAUUCCCAAUUUUCAGAGAAACCACAAAUUUUAUUUCCAAAGUGGUUGUACAAGUUUGCACUCCCACCAGUAAUGGAGGAGUGUUCCCCUUGCUCUACAUCUUUGUCAGAAUAUGCUGUCACCUGAGUUUUUGAUCUUUGAUAUCUGACAGGUAUAAGAUAGAAUCUCAGAAUCAUUUUGAUUUGCAUUUUCCUGAUGACAAAGUUUGUUGAACAUUUCUUUAAGUGCUUCUUGGCCACCAGAGAUUCCUCUGUUGAGACUUCUCUGUUUAGCUCUGUUCCCCAUUUUUUAAAAUUGUGUCAUUGGUUUGUUGGUACAUAAUUUCUUGUGGCUAUUAGCCCUCUGUCAGAUGUAGGGUUGGUGAAGAUCUUUCCCCAUUCUGUAGGUUACUGUUCUGUUCUGUUGAGGGUGUCCUUAGCUUUGCAGAAGCUUUACAGUUUCAUGAGGUCCUGUUUAUUAAUUGUUGAUCUUAGUGCCUGAGCUUUUGGUGUUCUGUUCUGGAAGUUUUCCCCUGUGCCAAUAUGUUCAAGGCAUUUCCCCACUUUCUCUUCUAUUAGAAUUAGUGCAUCCAGUUUUAUGUUGAGGUCUUUGGACUUGAGUUUUGUGAAGGGUGGUAAAUAUGAAUCUAUUUUCAUUCUUCUAUAUGCAAACAUCCAAUUAGACUAACACUGUUUGUUGAAGGUAUUUUCUUUUUUCCACUAUAUGAUUUUGGCUUCUUUGUCAAAAAUCAAGUGUCCUUAGGUGUAUGAGUUUAUUUCUGGGUCUUCAAUUCUAUUCCACUGCUCAAUAUGUUUAUUCAAUGCCAGUACCAUGUGCCUUCAAUUUUCAUUGCUCUGUAGUACAGUUGGAAAUCAGGGAUGGUGAUACCUUCAGAAGUUCUUUUAUUGUCCAGGAUUGUUUUAGUGAUCCUGAGUCUUUUUUUUUUUUUUUUCAUAUGAAGUUGAGAAUUGCUCUAUCAACUCAAUGUCUACAAGAUCCCUGGGAAAUUUUUCUAUUGGUUGACAGUAGCUAAGAAAAAGGUUAAAUAAAGGGUGGACAUUUGAA